AGUAACUGCCUUAUGGCAUCCUGGGUGAAAUGGGUCACAUAUGGCUAUUGCAAAUUGCUGAAAAAAUCUCAGAUGUCACUUAUGGGAAAUUGGUUAACCUACUUAAUACUGAAGACUUACGGCCAUUUUUAUAUUCUACUUUAGUCACAGAGCUAGUCAACGUCUUACAGAUUGUCUUUACAUUUUGGGGGGAUAUUUUAUAUUUUUAGAUGCAUUUUUUUUUAAUGGACUAGCAAUGAAAACAUAUCAGCUUAUGUCUGUUACUCAAUAUGAAGUCUGUUGGGGAAAUCUCUCUUAAAAUGCUUACAUGGUGCCUCUUCUAUACUGGACUGGUUUGUAUGGUUACUGGGCGAUCUCUUCUGGCCACUAUUUUGGGGUGAAACAACCUGCUAGCCAGAGCUGGAAACCAGCUUGUUCAUCUCUGCUGAUGCUUCAGUGCAGCCUGGCUGACUCGGGGUGCCCCUCAUUUACCAGUGUGCUGGCCUGCAAUUCAGGCUUACCUUGAAUGAGGUCGAGAAUAAAACUUGAGUUAUCAAAAACUGUAUUGCUUAUAAAAAGAGCUCCCAAAAGCAGAUUUUCCAGUCUCUGUAUAUAAAAUUCACUUAAAAUAGUUUUUAGUGAGACUAGAGGUGAUAUCCCAGUGUAUGAAAUCUGUCAGAAAUGAUUGAUACACACAUAAGAAGCUGAGUGAAAAUUGAAGUAAAGAUAUGGCAUUGCCAGGCUUCAUUUAAAUACAAAAGCUAUGCAUUUAGAUUGAUUUAUUUUUAUGCCAAUAGGUUCUGACAUAAAUAUAGUGAUAUAUAAUGUAUUGACUAUAAUGUCAACAUUAUUCUAAAGCUGACUCAAGGAAAAAUAUCUCAUUGUUAGUGCUGUAAUAUAAUGCUUUGUUCUGCUGAAGGGGAAGGCCUAUAGAAGUAUGAUCAAAACAACCUCUUUCUUAAGACCCUUUGUAAUGCCUCUUAAAAUGACCUCAGGUUUUGCUAGUCCUUGCGUCCGCACUUCACGGCAUGUUGGCCGUUAGGUUGGUCAUUAGUAUUUAAUGCUCGUCCCGGCUUUGUAAUGAGCACUGUGCACUUUGUACUGGUUAAACUAAUGGGUUACAAGCCUGUGGGCUGUGUGCUCUUGCCGUAAGCCCAUACUAAGAUGUCAAAUGACCUUAUUUGAAAUGUGAAUUGAGGUCUGUAUGCUCUUUUUCUUUUUUUCUUUUUUUCUUUUUUUUUCUUUAAAAAAAAAAAAAAAAAAAAACUUGUUUUGGAACUAACCUUGCUAAGGAUGGAGCAAUUACUGGAUGUUUUGGGGUGAAAAGACAGCUAUUCACUGAGUGAACAGUCUAAUGGAAAUGGGAUUCACCCUUUUUCUUCAGUGCUUCUGUCCUUCACCUUCUGUUAUGAAUUCUGUAGGUCAAAUCUCUGGAUAUUUAGUGAAGCAACGUGACCCUUGGGACCAGGGUAAUUGAUGUUGGCUGUAGCCAUUGGAAGUCAGUGGACACUGCAGCCUUGCAGCAGGGCUGCCAUUCCCUCUCUGUCAGCCCCAGCGUGAACUUUCCUGCUCACUUUAGACUUGGAUCCAGUGCUUCCAUGUCCUUUAUCUGUUCUGAAGGUGUUGCUCGUGUUGAGUAUCUUCUGUUCCUUAGCUUACAUUAGUCUGCAGAAGUUAUGCCGAACCGCACCAUGUUAACUCAAGUCUCCUUUUGCAAUUUUUACAAGCUUUCACCCCUUUUCACACCACUAAGCAUCUCUCUUGUAACAAACGAGCGUGUGUAAUGUCUGAAGUGUCCGUGGCUCCUUGCUCAGCGGUGAGCAAGAUGCAGGGCCUGUCCCCACAGCUCUGUUGUUGUCCCCAUGGCCUGGUGGCACUGGGCUUGUCUGAGGUGGCCUCCAGGCCUCGAUGCACACCAGCGGCUCCAGGAGCGGCCAGUGAAGGCCCCACUUGACCAAGAAACACUUCUGUGGGUCGCCAUGAGGCGAAUUUACCUCAGUGUGUUCCUAAGGGGGCUUUGAGGUGGCCGCAGGCCUGCUCCCUGCUGCUGCCCCAGGCCCUGGCUGUGCAGGGAGCCCUCGUGGUGGGACAGGUCUGCAUCAACCUUUAAACAACGCGUUGGUAAUAACACAUAUACAACCACCACCAUGAGCACAAUAACAUCAGUGUCACUCCCGUAACACUGUACAUUUUGGUACACCUGGUCCAGUGACGUUUCUGUUCAUAUAUGAAAUGUUUUUGAAGUGUGAGACGGAGGGUGCUGUAGAUAGAUUUAAGUUUUUCCAUUUGUAUGAUUUUUUUUUUUACUUUCUCAUUUUCUCCUGCAUUUUUCUACUUUCGUUUUGUACAGGCUGCUGAUAUAAAGAGUUUAUUCAUGAGGUUAACCUAAUUACUGUCUUCAGAAACAAAGCCUGUUUCUACAGUGAAUAUCCUUUUGAAAUCCAUCAUCUGCAUAUUGCCUAAUAAAGUUAGCAAAUGGCCUCCAAAUGAACCAAAAUGACUCAGUAUCUCGUCUAGCAAAGAAUGUAUUAUGGUUUUUCUGAUACUGACAGAAAUGUUUAAAAUUCUCAUUGCAUUGCUUUGCUGCUGGAUUAAUAUGCAUUUCUCUGUCUUGAGAUGAAAAACACUGUCUAGAUUUAAUGCAACACUUACGAAAUUGCUGAUGUGAGUCUCAGUUAAAGCUAUUUUAUAUACACACUGGAGAGCGUACGGGAGACAACUGGAAAGUUCACUUUGAGGAGCUCCAACAUUUGUAAUCAGUAACUAAAAUACAUUCGUGGAGUUGCAAGACUAAAAGGCACGAAUUUAAGUGCCUUCAUCUAUUUUCCGUGCUCGGCACAAAGGUGAUACAUUUUUCAUGUAAGCAAAGCUCCUUGGAGCAGAGGGUGCUCUGGGGAGGUGAUUAAGGAGGAUGGAGAUGUGCUGGCUGAUAGAGCUGGGGCCUGAGCACACACUGUCGGCAUGUCGCGACAUAUAAAAGCCCGUUUUAGCCUCUCCUGUUGCUUGUCUCAAGACAAAUAUUCCUUACUUUAUUCUUUAUGUUCUUUUGGGGGAGAAACAAUUUUUUAUUUUUUAUUUUUUUUUCUCAAAAGGCCAUCACGUCUACUAAGUGCAUUCUGGGACAGUGGCAUUUAAGUUUAACUUUCCUCCUCUGGAGCAAAACCCUGGGUAAUCCUGCUAAAAAGAGAGUAACUGGCAGCCUUUGAUAGUCUCGCUGCUGACUGCCUGCUUGAUUCCUGCAGGCAUUCAUGGGGAAGACUGGGGUGGCCUUUAUGCUGUUCUUAAUUUUCCAUUUCUACCUGGACUGGAACUUUUAUAAAUAAUUUAACUUAAUUAUUAUGUAUCUUUCUAUCCUGGAAAAUAUCAGUUUACAGGAAAACAUGACAGAAAGCAUACUGAAGAGCUGCCUUGUUCCACUGACUACAAGAAUCCAUCAUGAAGCAGUGAUGGACGUUUGAUGUGCCCAAAAGAAAAUCAUUAUUUCAGUUACUUCUUAAAUAGCUCUCUGGUUGGGAAAGAGUAUCUGAAUUAAUGGUAGCUUGGACAUCAUUAUAUAUUAAUGGGCUCCAACUGAUUUAUUUUUUCUGGCAGUUAUCCAUUUGCACAAUGUAUUAUGCCUGACUGAUCCAUUUCCCCUGCUAUUGAGUGGUAGAUUGUGGAUUAGUACCUCGAGCCAACGCCAGUCUGCAUGGGAACGUAAUAGGAUCUUGCAUCGUUUUUAAUGGUGAGUUAUGGGCUGUCACACAGAAUAUCUGGACACACUUAAUAACUUUCUGACGACAACUGUAACAGACGUAAUGGUAAGUAUGUGUUGUCACUGAGCUGCUGGAGAGGCAGGCUCCUGCUUGCCAGGUGCUAUUACACUGGACUGAAUUGCCUUUGUAGAUACUUCUGUAGUUACAAACUUUUUCCUAGCUCCAGUAGUGCUUAAAUAAAAAAAUUGAUCCCAUGGAAUUAUAUUGCUGAAUAUUAAAGUCGGUAUUUAUUUGCAAGAGUCACUUUGGGGUGCCUAAUUUGUCCGCGAGAGCAAGGUUUUUUGCUCAGGCUGCAAAAUGGUGCAAUAAAAAUCAGUGAUUGAUGUUUAUUAUCAGAUUAAAUGGUUUAGCUGUGGGGAUCAAAGUUAUAAAUUACAGCACUCCCCAAGCUGUGAUUGGCCACUAGAGAUCUUUCUAAGUGCCAGCGUUUUUUAAUGAGAUCGUAUAUUUUCAAGCCUCUAACAGUAUCAACUUUUGUAGUUUAUUGAAACUGUGUUUAAAAUAACAGCUUACGGGGUGUCAAAAAUAUUGGAUGUGUUUUGUAUUUGCUUGGUCCAACAUCCUGGGGGGAAAAGCCAUUGCUUUGAAAAUGGUGGUUUUGAUUCCCCAGCAAACAUUGCAGUUCAGUCUGGGGACCUAAAGGAGCAUGAGGGCUGUAGCAUUUACUUUGUUUGGGUUUUGGUCGUUUCAUUUAGAACUUGGGGUGGAAUCUGCUCUGGGUCUUUGGUUGGAUCGAAGUUUAAUGGGCAGCUUUUUCCCUCUUGGGAGUUUGGCCACAGCGAGAGAGGGAUUUUCCUCCACUGUUCAUCAAUGUACAGGAAACUGGAGGCUGCCCCACAUGGGAGAAGAAGGCAAACACCCCAAUAUUGUUUGCUUAUUGCUGAUGGGACAUGACCCUGGAUGUCAAAAGCCUAAUAUUGAAGUCGGAGGCAUUCCAGGAAGGGCACACUGGAAUAAUUGUGUGAAUGCUCUCAAAUUCUCUGCCUGAAAACUACCAGUCAAAGCAUAGCUAAAAUUUAGUCUGCCAUUAGAUAAGACUAAAUUAUAUUUUGUUACUUGCUAAGGGAGAUUUAUAAUUGGGGUAAAAUCUUAACUGUGCAACCAUUAAUCUCACGAACAGCACUGCAGCAUCAAAAGCAAGACAUUGUCUUCCUGUCCCCAGGACGUUCUUUGUCAGAAAAUCAUUUGUUUAACUCAAAGGAGGCCUUUUUCUCUUUUAUGUUAAAAAGUUGGUCUUUUUUUCUUUUUUCUGCUGGCUGCAUUUACUCCUGGGAGACUCUGAUUAAGCAGCUGGCUUCAGAAGAGCGUGCGCUGCGUGGCCCUUCUGGGGGAGAAGUCACGGGGGUGCUGGUGGCACCUCAAAGCAGCUCUCAUCUGUCUGUCCUCCUGUGCUGGCACGCCGAGUGCUCUCAGGGAAAACUCAUGGCUUUCCAAAGAAAGAAAAAAGAAAUGAGAUGAAGUCUUUUGCACAGCGUGGAGCUGAAGACUUGAUUUCCACGUUCUUAACCCCUUGCUCUGAGCACCACUUCAGCAAAAGGUCAGGCGGAGCUGUUUACACCCAGGAAGCAGAGGCAGGAAGGAUCCUCAGGGUUUCCUGGAGCUACCAAGCGAUGCCCGUUGCUUUACGGUGUUCAGCUGGGAUAAGCCUUGAGCUACUGCUGCUGGAAGGGAACUGCUCGGUUAGCAGCAGCAUGGGUUGCUUUACGGAGCAGGCGAGGAGCAGCACGCACCUUCUGCAAGGUUGUCUCAGAUGGAAAUAAAGCACCGAAAUUAUCCUAAUAAAUUAUAAUAAUUGUGCCUGGCAGCAUGCAGUAAUUUAAAAUAGAUUAAUCUAACAAGCCUUAAAUAUGAAUAAAUAAUAAACAUCUUCA